rnacentral:rRNA from 1 species
AAUGAACGCUGGCGGCAGGCCUAAAACAUGCAAGUCGAGCGCCCUAGCAAUAGGGAGCGGCGCACGGGUGAGUAACACGUGGGAAUAUGCCUUUUGGUACGGAACAACCUCGGGAAACUGAGGCUAAUACCGUAUGGUCCCUUCGGGGUAAAGAUUUAUCGCCAAAAGAGUAGCCCGCGUUGGAUUAGCUAGUUGGUAAGGUAACGGCUUACCAAGGCGACGAUCCAUAGCUGGUCUGAGAGGACGAUCAGCCACACUGGGACUGAGACACGGCCCAGACUCCUACGGGAGGCAGCAGUUAGGAAUAUUGGACAAUGGGCGCAAGCCUGAUCCAGCCAUGCCGCGUGAGUGAUGAAGGCCUUGGUUGUAAG